UACGGGGGGGGCAAGCGUUGUUCGGAAUUACUGGGCGUAAAGGGCUCGUAGGCGGCCAACUAAGUCAUCUGUGAAAUCUCCGAGCUUAACUCGGAACUGUCAGCUGAUACUGAUGUGCUAGAGUGCGGAAGGGGCAAUCGGAAUUCUUGGUGUAGCGGUGAAAUGCGUAGAUAUCAAGAGGAACACCUGAGGUGAAGACGGGUUGCUGGGCCGACACGUGACGCUGAGUGCGCGAAAGCCAGGGGAGCAAACGGG
rnacentral:rRNA from 1 species